rnacentral:lncRNA from 1 species
AUGCUUGCCAGAGAUGGCGGCCCAACCUCCCACCUCAGAGGGAAAAUUGAAGGGGAGGGCCUCAACUUCCGGCCCUGUCACCAGCACCUGCCCGUUCUCAUCUGUUCCCUUGAUUCCAUGAAGAAGCUGUCCUUUCUCCUGACCGAGGGUCAUCCUUCACCCUUUUCCCUCACCCCACGCUCUCCAGCUUCCCUCCGGGCAUCCCUGUUCAGUCCAUUCAUUCAUUGUUUCAUCCAACAAGGCUCUUCGAGCAUCAACCACCUGCCAGUCACUGUUGUGGACACUGGGGCCCAGAAGCAACAGAACAGGAAGUCCCCAUUCCCAGGGGUGGGAGCCAGAUGGAGAACAAACACAGUUGAUCCUCAUUAUAUUUGCAAAUUUGCCCGCUUACUAAAGUGUAUUUGUAAUCCCCAAAUCAAUACCCACAGCACUGCCACAGUUAUUCAUGGAUGGGCAAAGUGGCGAAGAACUCGAGUCCCCUGAAAUGCACGUUCCCAGCGGAGGUUGACCAAGGCGAUGCGCUGCCUUCCUGAUUCAGCUCUCAGACAUAAACAAGGGACCUUUCCACAGUAAAUUUAUUGCCACAUGUUUCCUGUUUUUGUGCUCUUUGUGGGAGAGUUUCACUGUUUAAAAUGACCCCCAAGAGUAGUGCUGAAGUGCUGUCCAGUGUUCCUAAGUGCGAGAAGGCUGUGCUGUGCCCUACAGAGAAAAGUGUAUGUUAGGUAAGUGUAUUUAGUCAGCCAAAUGGGUGCUGAUGCAAAAUACCAGAAAUUGGUUGGUUUUUAUAAAGGCUCUUUAUUUGGGGUAGGAGCUUACUGUUCCCAGGCCACAAGGCAUACGUUACUUCUUUCACCAAAGUCUAUUUCCAUGUGUUGGUGCAAGAUGGCUGUCAACAUCUACGAGGGUUCAGGCUUCCUGGAUUCCUCUGGGCUCAGCUCCUCUGUUUUCUCCACAAGGUCAGCUGCAGGGUAUGAGGCUUUGCAGACUUGCCUCUGUCCACAAGGUCAGCUGUAGACUAUCAGGUGAAUGGCUCUGUCUCUCUC